ACUCCUACGGGAGGCAGCAGUGGGGAAUAUUGCACAAUGGGGGAAACCCUGAUGCAGCCAUGCCGCGUGUGUGAAGAAGGCCUUCGGGUUGUAAAGCACUUUCAGUAGGGAGGAAGGUAGUGUAGUUAACACCUGCAUUAUUUGACGUUACCUACAGAAGAAGCACCGGCUAACUCCGUGCCAGCAGCCGCGGUAAUACGGAGGGUGCGAGCGUUAAUCGGAAUUACUGGGCGUAAAGCGCAUGCAGGCGGCCUGUUAAGUCAGAUGUGAAAGCCCGGGGCUUAACCUCGGAAUUGCAUUUGAAACUGGCAGGCUAGAGUCUUGUAGAGGGGGGUAGAAUUUCAGGUGUAGCGGUGAAAUGCGUAGAGAUCUGAAGGAAUACCAGUGGCGAAAGGCGGCCCCCUGGACAAAAGACUGACGCUCAGAUGCGAAAAGCGUGGGGAGCAAAACAGGAUUAGAUACCCUGGUA
rnacentral:rRNA from 1 species